UAUAUGUCCUUAGGAUCGACCCUGAUUACAUUACUUUUAAACGCAAACGUGAAUGUUGCAUGUCAGCACACGAAAACUAAUUUCAAAGGUUUGGAAUGCAAACGUAAAUUCAAGAGAAAAUUUAAAUAAAUACACAUAUCUAUUAUUAUAAGAUACUUCUCUCACUCCUCAUGUCUCCAACUCAGCCGCCGGCUAGAUAAAUCAAGCUCUCUCAGACUGACAUGUGUCACUUAGUAACGAAACUCAUCGUUUAAAUGAAACGCGAGUUUUGAUGGGCUUUCAACGUUUAUGGCAUGUUGGGCUCUGGUAUGUCGUUCUGUUCAGCCUGGAUAGAUGGGAUUCGCCCUCUAACCUUAAUUCCGCUCGAUUGAAGAAUCGCAAAUCGUCUCUUCUCUUCUUGCGAUGGCGCCGCGUGAUGUCUGUGCUUCCUUUCUCUGUCGGAAACGGCCUGAGCUGUGAUUUCGUGAUUAAUCCUAUUAACUCCAUCGCCCACUAUGAAGUCUUCAAUGUGUCGUUCAUAUCUUCGAGGCAGUGUGUCAUCUGUAUAAAUAUUCUUCUUCACCGGAACCCUAAACGCAUCCCCUCCUUGGAUCCACAAGUGGCCUCCGUCUUCUGUCCGGGCUGGCGAUUGCUCCAGGAAUAAAGCGAGGGAGAGAAUAAGUUGCGGAAAAACUGCAAUCGAAAGGAUUUCAGAUACGGAAAUUAAGAUGUGGACGAUAACGGCGAAGACGGUGGGGAUGUGGAAGCCAUAGGGAAUUUGUUGGGGAGAGUGUGUGUGAGGCCUGAUGUGAUAUUAGCUGAGGGAGAAGAUGACAGUGACGAUGAGGAUGAUGAUACUGUGUUAUUGCAAUGGGAUAAGAGAGAGGAAGUUUGAUAUCAGCCGAAGUUAUCAGCCUUUUGUAUACCAAGAUGUCGUUGCCGAUGUACAAAGCGGAGGAAUUGUGGCGGAGAAAGAGCUUCAGCUAUUGAACAAGCCUAAUCAUGUAUUGACACCAGAGGAGGACGAGAAUCAGUGUCGGAAAGCAGGCUAUGGUCAGGUCCUGCAUGAGCCCUUUCUGAAAUUCUUAAAGCAUGAAGAUUGAAAUGAAUCGGAGGUUUCCCAGGAGACGGAGAGACUCGCCGAGUAUUACGAUCCCAAACCAGGUGAAUUUGUGGUUGGUGUUGUGGACCUGUGGUUUCUGGUAACGGGAACAAACUCGAUGUGAGUAUAGUUGCAGAUAUGUUGGGGACCAUGAUGACGAAUGAGAAAGUUCCAUUGUACUACAAAGAAUUUGAUUACUUGCUCUGUGAUUUAAAUUAUGAUGCUGAAGAAUUCUUGGUUCAUGGUAAAAUGGGGAUUGUUAGGGAUGAUGAUGAAUAUGGUUUUUAAGUUGUGUAGUUUGCAAGGCAAGGCAUGCGUAUGGUGGAAAUAGGACAAUGAUCUUUGCAGAUGUUUUAGGGAGGACGUUGAGUGGAAGGCCUUUGCUUUCUUCUAGACGUUACUUUAGGAGAAUAGGCAUGUCUCUUUUUGUUCCUUGAUUUCAAAAACUGUUAUUGGUUGAUGUAUCAAGAAGAUUCUAAUAAAAAGUAGGUUGUUAUGUGGCAGAUCAAGCAGCUUAAUGAUACUGACGUUGAGAUAACUGAGUGGGAUAUCUCUCAUCAGAAUUGAAGGCUUGAGAGGUUCUAUAUUGUUGAAGAAAAAGUAAAGGAAGACUUUCUUUUUUUCUGCUGACUUGCAGUAAGCUUUUUGGUUUCACUGUUUCUAUGAUGGAAGCAUGAUAAAGCUUUAAGAGUUUCAGAGAUAACAAGGAAUUGUUUCAAAGUUGACGAACUCGAUAUACAAGCCGGACAUAGCGAGAUGUUGCAAGGAUGUGUUAAAAUCUAGGUAGUAGUAAUCUAUGACAAGACAAAUCAUAAAAAAAUUGGAUGCUAAAUGAUGACGGAAAGACAGAUGGAAAUGAGGGAAGUUGAUGAUUGUGUGUGAUAGCAGUAGAGAAGUACAAAAGAAUAAAGGAUUUCACUUGGACCCCUUUUCAUGAUUUUCACUCUUAGUACUAUAGAUUUUUAUUCUUCAACAUGAGGCUUUAGAUGUGACAACAUCGUUUUCUACAUUUCGGGGCGGAUAUAUGCGCAGAAUAAACUUUCAAAGCAUACGUGAAUGAUACUUUGAUUUUCAGGAAGAAUCAGAAUUUUGUUUUUUACAUCUAAACUGACAGAUAUGAGUGUCAAAGGAAUAUAAGAUAAUGCAAAAAUAGUUAAUCAAUAAAAUAAUUUUUAAUGAUCGUGAUUGAGAUUGUACUAAACAAUAACAUGGUUUCUUAUUUUGCCGUCCACUGAUAGAUGGAAGAAAUAAACUUUCUGAAUAUCUUCAAGGUGAGAGGCCAGUGGGGAUGUAAGUAGCAGCUAGGAAUUUUUUUAUCCAGAGAAAAGCUUCCCAAUUUACAUAUUGAUGGCCCGGUUUAAAAGAUUUAAAGGAGAGUUUGGGUGGUGUUUUUUUUUAAAGAAAAUUUGUUCUUUGGUUUUAUUUGCUAUGCGUCUUAUUUUAUCUGUAAUGUCUUCUCAUGAACUGGUUUAGAGACCAAAAAUAUAUUUAUCGUUCUACCAUUUUUUUACAUGAUUCAUUCUUUAUUAUAAAAUAGUUUGAUUUACUUAGAAAAUAAACCGUUUAAACAAUCAGUUUCAAUCAAAAACCAUGUUUAGCAAUUUCAUUUUUCUUAAUUAUGUUGCAAUUUUUUGUUAAACAAUUAUGUUGCAAUUUGAUCAAAACAAUCUUUCAAAACUGUUUUCUAUGCAACAAUCUAGCUAAGAAAAUUUUGGUUUCUUUGGACAGUCUAAUAAAAGAACUUUGGUACUCUUUCAAACCAGAUCCAUUUCUCAAUUACAUCAUUAUUAAUAAUAAAAUAAGUACUAUUAUAAGUUUAGAUAUUUUAUGCUGCCACCUCAACUAACGAGAAAAAAGAAACAUGACACAUUACUGUAAGUUUUUAACAUUUGAACUAUCAUACUAUUGUACAUCAAAUGCUCCAUAAUAAUCUUCAUAGCUAACUAUACAUCAAAUAGUUAUGGUUUUCUAUUAUUUUAUUAGUUAACCUAGAUUUUAGUGGUAAAAAAAGGAAAACAAUUACAUAAUUCUUUUUAUUUCAAAUUUUUGUUGAUGUGAGUUUUAAGAGACAUAAAAA